AGGCAUGAGCCACUGCGCCUGGGCAGCAAUUGGUUUUCUGAGCUUUACUUAUAAUUGGUUAUCUGACGCUCCAGAUAACUUUGUAUCUGAUGUUUAUCUUUGUAAUUUAAAAAAAAAUUUUAGCUAUGUAUAAAUAGAGCUUAUCAUUCUUGUUAUAUUUUGAAUGAGCCUUGCCUGCAUGAUAUUCUAUCUCUGCUGAAUUCUUUCGUGUCUGAUUUCUUCAAAUUAUUUGUUAAUGAAUCUAUUCAGAAUUCUUUCUUAUAUCUCCAUUAGUAUUGUGAAAGGCAAGUAAGAACUCAAGACCUCAAUUCACUAUGCCAAAGGAAAAUAUUAAGCUGAAGGCCGUGUCAUGUGAGAAACUGCCUUUCCUUUUGUUUAUAAGUAAGCUACAGAUAAAAAGUUAAAUAUCUCCAAAGGUAGCUACUCUAUGUUCACCUUAUCAUAUGUAAGGUGCUAUUCCCUUAUCUGCUCCUUUUUUUCCCCUGAGACAGAGUCUUGCUCUCUUGCCCAGGCUGGCGUGCAGUGGUGCGAUCUCAGCUCACUGCAA